GGGCCCGCACAAGCGGUGGAGCAUGUGGUUUAAUUCGAUGAUACGCGAGGAACCUUACCAGGGCUUAAAUGCAGAGCGACAGAGGUGGAAACACCUCCUUCUUCGGACGGUCUGCAAGGGUGCUGCAUGGUUGUCGUCAGCUCGUGCUGUGAAGUGUCGGGUUUAAGUCCCAUAACGAGCGCAACCCCUAUUUCUAGUUGCCAGCGGUUCGGCCGGGGGACUCUAAAGAAACUGCCUACCAAGUAAGAGGAAGGCGGGGACGACGUCAAGUCAUCACGGCCCUUACGUCCUGGGCCACACACGUGCUACAAUGGUUGGUACAGAGGGCAGCUACCGGGUGACCGGAUG
rnacentral:rRNA from 1 species